UUCCCCUCAAUCCCGGAGAGUGAAGCGGCAAGAGCUCAGAUUUGAAAUCGUGUUUCGGCACGAGUUGUAGAGUGUAGGCUGGAGUCUCUGUGGAGCGCGGUGUCCAAGUCCCUUGGAACAGGGUGCCUGAGAGGGUGAGAGCCCCGUGGGGUGCUGCGCGAAGCUUUGAGGCCCUGCUGAACGAGUUCGAGUUGUUUGGGAAUGCAGCUCUAAAGCCGGGU
rnacentral:rRNA from 1 species